rnacentral:piRNA from 2 species
UAAUGGAGAUAUUUCAAUCUUGGC